UAACCUGGAGAUAGGAUCUGAAGGUCCUGGCAUCAAGGGCUGGAAAGGUGUCUCUGCCCACCAGCUGCUGACCAUAGCAUGGAUGCAGUGGUUUGCUCCAAGUCACAGGAGACAGAGACUCAAGAAUGUGGGGCUGCCAGCCUGAAUCGGUGCAUUCUGAGCUCUCCUGUUCUGUCUCUCCACAUUAUGAAAGCUCAAGGCAAGGGACAAAGGUACUAUUUAUACAGACACAGAGAACACCAUGGAAGCCCAGCUUAUGCAGCAGAAACCAAUUCAUGCUAAAUCUUCUACAGGCCCAGGCCUAGUGGAAUACUCAGGGUUCUGUCUCUGGAACUAUGCUCACAGGAAACAAAGACCACGACGAGAGUCAAGAAGCACACAGAUGCGAGAAGUCACACUCAGAAAACUGCACACAACAGCAGCCUGAAAACGAAUGCACAGAGUUCACAGAGAUGAAGGACAGGAAUUACAUGCUGAGAAGAAAGCAAGCAAAUCUGAAAGAAAAUUAAACGGAACUGAUUGAUGUAAGAAACUUCUAGUUCUGAUGACUGGGAACCCCUAAAGCCAAGGAGCCCUGCAUCUGUCUGGUGAGGAAAGCCCUUCUUGCUGAGUCAUUCCAUAACAGAAAACAGGACAAGAGACUAUGAGAGGAAGGAUGGGAAGAGAGACCCUGAAGUUGUCUUCUGCAGGAACCCUUUCCCUGGAUAAGCAGCCUCCUUGCUCAGUAAAGGCAUUAAUCCAUUGACGGGGCGAGGGACCCCCUCAUGACCUCAUCACCUCUUAAAAAUCACACUGUUAACACCAUUGCAUUGGGGAUUAAAUUUCCAGAACAUGUAUUUAAGGGGAUAGCUUCAAACCAUGGCAUCUUAAUCUUGUCCCCAAAUUCAUGACCUUCUCGCAUGCAAAUACGCUCAUUCUACCCAGUAGCCCUAAAGUCUUAACUUAUUCCAGCACUAACUCAAAAGUCCAAAGUUCAGAGUUUUAUCUGAAUAAAAUAUGGGUGAAAUUCAUGGCCUGAUCCAUGCUGAGGCAAAUUCCUCUCUAGCUAGGAGCCUGUGAAUUAACAAAUUACGUGCUUCCAAAAUAUAGUGCUAAGACAGACACAGGAUUGAUGUCCCUACUUUAAAAGGGAGAAAUAAGAAGAAAGGAAUAACUGAUUCAAGGAAAUUUCCAAAACAGAAAACAUUAAAGUUGGAGAAUAAUAUCCUCUACCUCAGUGUAAUGCCUCCUGGAUCACUGAGGGUCCCCAAAGUCCCAUGGCUGGGCUUGGCUCAGACCAUACAGCAACUCUCACAGGUUGGGGUCCCAUGCCUGCAGGUCUCAGGUUAGCACUGCACCAUGGUAGCUCUACAGUUAGGAGACCUUGAGAGUAGUCACACUUUCGUGGCUCCAUUAGGCACCACCCUAGGUAGGGCCACUCUGUGGUGAUUCUGCCUCUGCAACAAGUCUACUGUGUCCUGAGGCUGUCUGGAACAUUUUUUAAAAUCUAGGUAGAGAAAGCCAUGCCCCCACAGUUCUUCCAUUCUGAGUACAUACAGAGUCAGCACCACAUGAGCACUGCCAAAGCUGGCCAAGAGCUGUGACAAAAUGCACCUGUGCCCACUUUAGUGCUUUCAGACUCUCUCAACAGCUCAGGACAUGAAUGCUGAUUUCCUGAAGGAAUCUCUCUAAAGCCUUGCUGUUGAGAGGUCCUAACUGCACUCAGAGCCUUCUGAAUGCCUUGGGGAUUAUUCUACCACUGUCUUGAUGAGUAAAGCCUGACUCCCUUUUACCCAUAUUAAUCUAUUUGACAAAAGGCCAAGUGAUAGGAAAAAGAAUUAUGCCCUUGGUUGUGGGGCAUUCUUUAAGGUGAGGUUGACAGAACGUUUUCAAACAUUUAGAUAGUAAAUGUUUGAAGCUUGCCAGUCAUGUGAUCUCUUUCACAACCAUUCAGUUCUCUCAUUGAGCAGCAUGAAAGCAGUCACCACCAGCGAUGACAUGGAGAUGAAUCAGCAUAGCUGUGUACUGAGGAAGCCUUAUUUCUCCAGGUGGCUACCUGCCCAAAAUGACAAAGACAUCAAAAUACCCCCUGAAGGUCUAGAGCUUAACUAUCCCCAAAGGCCCAUGUUCUAAAAGCUCAAUCACUAGCUUGCGGUGCUGCGGAAAGGUGAGGUUUAGUGGGAGGAAGUAAAGUCAUUGAAGUACACCUUGAGGAGGUACUGGAACCUCCAUUGUCUCACUGCUCCACACCAUAAGGUAAACUGACCACACGCUUCCACUGUAAUUUGCUACUCAAGUCAGAAAACAAUGGGAUCAAAUGACUGUGGAAUACAAUCUCCAAAACCAUGAGCCAAAGUAAGCCUUUGUACCCACAAUUGUCAUCUCAGGUAUUUUGUCACAGUGACAGAACAGUCACAGCCAAUCUAAAAAUGUUUAAAGACUUAAUAAAGUAGACAAGGGCACAUUCAGCAAACAAACAGAAAUCCUAAAGCAACUGCCAAAUGCAAAUUCUGUAACUGAAAACUAUGCUUCCUGGGAUCAAAUAUCCAUUAGCUAGGCUUCAUACAGACUAGGGAUUGCAUAAGAAAAUAGUCUUAUGUUGAAAUUUAAUCCUCACAAACAUAGCAUUCAAUGGUGGGUUCUCUGUGACCUAAUUGCCCAUGAGGACUUGUGCCCUAACUAAAGGAGCCCUGUCUCUGUCUACAUUGCAAAGACAAACAGAAGAAAGCCCUCAUCAGAUACCAAGUCUGCUGGAAAUUUAACCUUGGAUUUCUUACACUCCAGGAUUGUGAAAAAUAAGUGUCUGUUGUUUAUAAAUUAUAGUCUGAGGCAUUUUUAUAGUAUAGUAGCCCAAACAGACUGAGACAUCUUCCAGUCUGAAGAACAAGAGAAAAAUAUUGUUAACAAACAUAGCCUUGGUGAGAAUGUAAAGUGUUUUGACGUAUGUCUAAUAAGAACACCAAAAGGAGAAGAGAAAGAAACAAGAAGUAUUGACAGAAGAAUAAAAUUUCUCAGAA